ACAACGUCAAAGUCGAUAGCUCAGGGAGGAGAAUCGCUCCUCUGUUGCCUUGAGACACACAUUUAAAAUAAACAAGCUGUUAUCCAAGUCAGAGGAAGAGGAGUGCUGGCACAUAUCUGUGCUGUGGAGGGAGCAUGAAAUCCAGACAGAUGAUGGUGAUCGUGUCAUGGAGCCUGACGGAGGCAUGGUUCUGCUGCCCAGUGUAAAAUGUUUGUUUAGACUUGACGCUUGUGGCAUUCAGGCGCUGGGUUCACGUGCUAAAUGCAUGGAGAGGUGUAAGAAGCUGUGUUGAAAAGGGUAUUGUCUGGCAUCUCCUCUGAUUUGAUGAAAUCCAUAAUGGCCUUAUAAAAGUUACCGACGGCAACUGGAACAGCUACUCUCUCCUCUUCCUCGGAGAUGGCCGGUUGAUGAAUAUAGAAACCAAGCUGUCAGUUGUGAGGCGGAGAGACGUCUCGGAGGUUGCCUGUCAGUCAUUGGGGGAACCUGUCAGAAAGUGAAAAGGCAACGUUAAGACGUCAGACACAUUUACAUUGAGCCCUGUCUGCUAUAGAAAGCCUCUCCCUCGCCAGUGACCAAUGUUGAUUCUACAAUAACGGCCGCGACGCAGCGCUGCGAAAAUCUUUUUCUUUCAGCGAGCGAACCCCCUCGUCCUAUUAGACCCGAUGCUGUGUGAAAUCCACCCUCACCAUUUCCUCUAGCUGGAAAAGUAAAGAACAUGAAUACGGGCUCCGAGGAGAGGCUACAAUAUUCACGUACGUGUACACACACUCAGGCACACACUUCAGUCUCCGGCUCUUUAUUUGUCUGUGCCUGGGAAGGCCGAGGCCUCUUGCAGCCCAAGCGACCUAAGCAACAGCUGGUGUGCACAGACACAUUUCCUAUUUCUGCCCAAGGUGGAUCAUAUAACUCUCACUUUAUCACCCUUGGAGGCCAUGUGAAGGACAAAAUGAGCACGCCCAUAAACAAAACUAAUGUUUUCAUACUGGCCCUCUGGAGGUGGUAGAAGGGGCCCUUGGCGAGCCAACACCCCCCAACCACCACCACCACUCCCGCUAAUCCAACCCACCUCCGGCUUGGCUCCUACCCGUAUCAACUUAGACCUCGACCCCACCAACCCUUUCCUCCUCGAGGUUCCCACUGUCCUUCGGUCUCACCCCCCGUCUCCAGCCCACUACCCAUCAAUGACACAGGCCACUUAGGCCAGCACUAUGGCGAUGCUUUGAAUGUGGUGCAUGAAUUUAUGAAUUUAUACAAUUUUCUAUAUGUAAUCUCUAGUCAUAAAUACAAUAGGCCUAGUAUGCAUUUAUGAAAAUGACAGCGUUUUGGUAAUGGCCAUAGACGUUGUACUUGUUUUUUAAAACUCCACACCUUCAUCUGUUGUCCCCUUCCUCCCAGUCCUUCCACAGUGGUACUUCUAAGGGCACGGGCCUCUGGAUAUCUCACCCUUCACUCUCCUAUCUCGAGUGUUAUUGGCUGCAGGGCCAGCGGCUGCAGAUACACAGCAUAGCAGCCGGCCCUCAGUGACCCGAUAACAUUUAUCGUUGUAAUGGAUUUUUUUUUUAUGCCUGUCAUUAACUCACAGGCAGAGGGGGAAAAAGAUUGCUUGUACCAUUUUUUUCCUGUGGUAUUUCGACUUUAUGACAUUAUGUUCAGAUAUGUAAUCUUCCAUCAUCCUAGUUUUAGGGCCUGUCUGACCUGUCACUGCUUUCUGUGUUUAAAUGCAUAGCCCUUUGUGUGCUGUGUGGACUCUCCUUGUAUCUAGCUAUUGUAAUGAAUAUUUUAUGAAGCUAAAUUAAAAUGGUUG